rnacentral:rRNA from 1 species
GAUGAACGCUGGCGGCGUGCCUAAUACAUGCAAGUCGAGCGAACGGACGAGAAGCUUGCUUCUCUGAUGUUAGCGGCGGACGGGUGAGUAACACGUGGAUAACCUACCUAUAAGACUGGGAUAACUUCGGGAAACCGGAGCUAAUACCGGAUAAUAUUUUGAACCGCAUGGUUCAAAAGUGAAAGACGGUCUUGCUGUCACUUAUAGAUGGAUCCGCGCUGCAUUAGCUAGUUGGUAAGGUAACGGCUUACCAAGGCAACGAUGCAUAGCCGACCUGAGAGGGUGAUCGGCCACACUGGAACUGCGACCCGGUCCAGCCUCCUACGGGAGGCAGCAGUAGGGAAUCUUCCGCAAUGGGCGAACGCCUGACGGAGCAACGCCGCGUGAGUGAUGAAGGUCUUCGGAUCGUAAAACUCUGUUAUUAGGGAAGAACAUAUGUGUAAGUAACUGUGCACAUCUUGACGGUACCUAAUCAGAAAGCCACGGCUAACUACGUG